rnacentral:rRNA from 1 species
UACGAAGGGGGCUAGCGUUGCUCGGAAUUACUGGGCGUAAAGCGCACGUAGGCGGCUUGGUAGGUCUCGCGUCAAAACCUGAGGCUCAACCUCAGUUCGCGUGGGAAACCACCUAGCUAGAAUCCGGAAGAGGAGAACGGAAUUCCCAGUGUAGCGGUGAAAUGCGCAGAUAUUGGGAAGAACACCAGUGGCGAAGGCGGUUCUCUGGGACGGUACUGACGCUGAGACGCGAAAGCGUGGGGAGCGAACAGG